AUGAACGCUGGCGGCGUGCCUAACACAUGCAAGUCGAGCGGAGGUGUGGAGUAGUUUACUAUGAAGCAUCUUAGCGGCGGACGGGUGAGUAACGCGUGGGCAACCUGCCCUAUGCAGGGGGAUAACAUAUCGAAAGGUGUGCUAAAACCGCAUAAAGCUUAAGAAUCGCAUGAUUUUUUAAGCCAAAGAUUUAUCGGCAUAGGAUGGGCCCGCGUCUGAUUAGCUAGUUGGUGAGGUAAAGGCUCACCAAGGCGACGAUCAGUAGCCG
rnacentral:rRNA from 1 species